AGAGUUUGAUCCUGGCUCAGGAUGAACGCUAGCGGCAGGCCUAACACAUGCAAGUCGAGGGGCAGCAUAAUGAAUAGCAAUAUUUAUUGAUGGCGACCGGCGGACGGGUGCGUAACGCGUAUGCAACCUGCCCGGGACAGGAGGAUAAUCCGAAGAAAUUUGGUCUAAUACUCCGUAAUACUGACGAAGGCAUCUUUGUUGGUUGAAAACUGAGGUGGUUCCGGAUGGGCAUGCGUGAUAUUAGCUAGAUGGAGAGGUAACGGCUCACCAUGGCUACGAUAUCUAGGGGAACUGAGAGGUUAAUCCCCCACACUGGUACUGAGACACGGACCAGACUCCUACGGGAGGCAGCAGUGAGGAAUAUUGGUCAAUGGGAGGAAUCCUGAACCAGCCAUGCCGCGUGCAGGACGACGGCUCUACGAGUUGUAAACUGCUUUUGUACCGGGGUAAAAUGCCUUACGUGUAGGGUUUUGAAAGUACGGUACGAAUAAGGAUCGGCUAACUCCGUGCCAGCAGCCGCGGUAAUACGGAGGAUCCGAGCGUUAUCCGGAUUCAUUGGGUUUAAAGGGUGCGUAGGUUGUUUUAUAAGUUAGCGGUGAAAUACCGAUGCUCAACAUCGGGGCUGCCGCUAAUACUGUAGGACUAGAGAUCGGAUGCAGCAGGCGGAAUGUGUAGUGUAGCGGUGAAAUGCAUAGAUAUUACACAGAACACCGAUUGCGAAGGCAGCUUGCUAGGCCGAAUCUGACACUGAUGCACGAAAGCGUGGGGAUCGAACAGGAUUAGAUACCCUGGUAGUCCACGCAGUAAACGAUGAUAACUAGUUGUCGGCGAUACACAGUCGGUAACCCAGCGAAAGCGAUAAGUUAUCCACCUGGGGAGUACGACCGCAAGGUUGAAACUCAAAGGAAUUGACGGGGGCCCGCACAAGCGGAGGAACAUGUGGUUUAAUUCGAUGAUACGCGAGGAACCUUACCCGGGCUUGAAAGUUAGUGACAGGAGGAGAAAUCCUCUCUCCCUUCGGGGCACGAAACUAGGUGCUGCAUGGUUGUCGUCAGCUCGUGCCGUGAGGUGUCGGGUUAAGUCCCAUAACGAGCGCAACCCCUAUCGAUAGUUGCCAUCAAGUGAUGUUGGGGACUCUAUCGAGACUGCCGGUGUAAACCGCGAGGAAGGCGGGGAUGACGUCAAAUCAGCACGGCCCUUACGUCCGGGGCGACACACGUGUUACAAUGGCCGGUACAGAGGGCAGCUACCUGGUGACAGGAUGCGAAUCUCGAAAGCCGGUCUCAGUUCGGAUUGCAGGCUGGAACUCGCCUGCAUGAAGUUGGAUUCGCUAGUAAUCGCGCAUCAGCCAUGGCGCGGUGAAUACGUUCCCGGGCCUUGUACACACCGCCCGUCAAGCCAUGAAAGUCGGGGGUGCUUGAAGUACGCUUACCGUAAGGGGCGUCCUAAGGCAAAACCGAUAAUUGGGGCUAAGUCGUAACAAGGUAGCCGUACCGGAAGGUGCGGCUG
rnacentral:rRNA from 1 species